rnacentral:snRNA from 1 species
UCGAGGGAAACCGCUCAAAA